rnacentral:lncRNA from 1 species
AUUUUGAUACUGCAAAUGGGAUCAGAAGGAGUUGAUUAUGGGUUGUGAGAUAGGGGAAAACUACAAGAAAAGAAUUUUUGUCAAGGCACUUUCAGUAUGAAAGUUAAAUGUUCUUUUAUGCUGAGAUUUGUGUCAAGUGGCAGCGGUUUGAAGGUGAAAGUUAGGCUUGGAUUUCAAUCAUGAAAUAGCUAUGGAUUUAGAUGGUCAUGACAUAUUAGGUUGUUUAAACAUAAUGAAGGACAUUUUCUAAAUGACAUAACAAAAUACAAUAUGGCUCCAAGGUACAUAGUUGUUGCUUUGAAAGAUAGAGAUCCAAAAAUCUGACGAACGUUACGCAAGCGUAUAAAGCAAGAUCUACAUGCAAGACGAGCAAGAGAGGUCCAUUGACUGAAAAGAAAUAUCUAUUGAGUCUAAUUCAUGAUAGAAAUACAUGUAUUGGUUCAGAAACAGCGCCGAAAAAAAUUCACUCUGACAAAAUAUGUAAAUUUCAAAAUAUUUGAUAGUUAGUAGCAAGAAAUCAGAUACAAAAUAUUUGAAAUUCAAUGAAAACUUUGCAUUUUUACCACAUUUAAAAAAAACAGGCAUUAGUUUUUGCUUGAUUUUAUAAAAAUCUGGUGCAUUUAUACCGUAUUUUUCUUUUUUUUUUUUUUUUGGUAAAACCGAUAUUUUUUAUCGGACUUUCUGAAAAAUCCGAGAAGCAACAAAAAUUCUGCAAUUAUUUAAAAUUUGGUAUACCUGAUUUAUAAUCCAGAUUGAAAAAUCUGAUAGUUCAAGUCAGGAUGUUUGCUUUAUGCGCUCCUGAUAUGGAUGGUUCCUCUACAAAUUUUGUGCAGUUCUUCACCUCUAAAGUUGUAUGUUUUAUUUGCAUGUUUUGUUUUUGACUUAUGCAAAAUUUAAUAGGUUUUGGGUAUCUCUGUCAUAGAUAAUUCAUUUUUUAUGUUGUAAACAACAAACAUUUCCCUCCCGGACUGACGUUUUAGCAUGGACACACUUCAUUGGUAAACAACAUGGUAUUAUUGUUGUUACUAUUCAUUUUGAUACUGCAAAUGGGAUCAGAAGGAGUUGAUUAUGGGUUGUGUGAUAGGGGAAAACUACAAGAAGAAGAAUUUUUCUCAAGGCACUUUCAGUAUGAAAGUUAAAUGUUCUUUUAUGCUGAGAUUUGUGUCAAGUGGCAGCGGUUUGAAGGUGACAGUUAGGCUUGGAUUUCAAAAUCAUGAAAUAGCUAUGGAUUUAGAUGGU